GCCUUGAAUUUAGUCCCUUUUAUAUAGUAGGAUAGCCAUGCUAUAGUUUUUCUCGGGAGAUGAGAUAAUUUGCACACAAAUAUGACUAAAAUCUCCUUUUAAGCGCGUGCGCGUGAUGUUGAUACUCCAAAACCAAAUUUGUCAUACUAUACUACAUACAAUAUAGUAUCGUCAUACAGAAAAGUUAAAUAGUUGCGAGGUUGAGUUUGAUCCAUUUCGUAGUUGUACUAUACAUGAUUAUGAAAUAGUAUAGUACUAUAAGCAAAGUAAUGUAUAGAAAAAAACAAAAAUGGUGGACAUGCGAGAUAAAUAAACAACCUAUACUAAACAAUAGUGUAAUUUCCUAUCAUCUGCUGCACUAGUCAAGUCAAGCAAAACAAAAACACGCAAUCUAUGGAACACAAUAAGGCCAACACACGCACAUGAUAGUUUCAUAUAGUAUGUGACAAUACUAUACAUAAUUACGACAUAGUAUAAUAGUAUAAUCAAGUAGCGUGUAAAAAGGAGGGAGGGAGGGAGAGGGAGGAAUGGAGGGAGAGAGAAGGAGGGAGGGAGGGAGGAACUGGGAAAGUAGUUGUAAAACUACCUUUAUAUUCUAUAUUUAUUAUAUAGAAUAGAACAUAACAAAAUAUUGCAUUCUAAUUUGAACUGAUAAUUUUUCAAAUCUGAUGGAUGUAAGAAUACAUAUGAAUUGAAUCACCAGAUCAUUAAUCACUUGAAUGUUUCUCUAAUAUAAAAAACCUAACAAAAACACUUUGAAAAAAAAAAUUAUGUUGUAUUCUAUGAUUCCUACUAAAAUAGAAUAGUAUAUUGUAAUGGUAACUGUUUAUCUUCUUCAACAAUUUUCAUUUCUCUGGCAAUUAAAGUAGACGAACAGUUUGAUAAUCAACCUUCUAUAUCGAUCAUUGUUGCAUUCGAGUUAUACGAACAAAACCACCGCCGAGCUCAAGCUCCGUUUACCACCAUUCUUGGAGCCGUCGUCGUUUCUACUUCUUCUUAGCGAUGUUUCCUCAUUAUUUAAUUCUUAAGAUGAGUAUAUAUGAUGUGCAUACGGUUCAGUUUCAUUUGUAAUUCUUAGAAAAACAAACAUAAUAUUAAAAAAAAUCAUUUAUCUAAUAAAACACACGCGCAGGAUAGUUUUAUCAUUAAUACAUAAUAUAUAGAGAAUACUAUAGCCAUCAAAUUGUUAUGGGUAUAGACUCAAUAUUUUUUCUGCUAUGUACAUGGCCCCUAAUUUCCCAAAUUUAAAUGCAUAAAGCGUGUAAAGUCGAAAAGAUCCUUAAUGAAAUGAGUUUAUUAUUAGAUCCAACCUAAUCUAUCCGGUCCACCCAAACCUAAACGGGUUAAAACCCGGAUCCUAACCCUAGUUUCCUCUUGCUCGCGAAAUCCUCCCAUUUGGUCCAUCUCACCAUCUCAACUUUCUUCUAUUGGGACAGAGAUACGAGCCACAAUCAUCAAUUGCAAGGUUGGAAAAUUUUCCCCGUCUUAUACUAAACCCUAAAAACAUUCUUCACCGUUCUUCUUCUUCUUCCCAUGAUCUCCCUGUCUCUUCGAAACUCAGUCGCCCAGGUUGUGGAUCUGGCCUGAGCGGGGAAACAAUCUCAGAGAAUGAGCACCAAUGGAUAGGUCUCGACAUCUCAGCCUCUAUGCUUAACGUUACUUGGUGACAUGGGGCAGUGAUUAUAAUACUGAUCAUAAUGACCUUUGCGAUGAUAAAACGAUGCUCAAGAUGCAAAGAUAGCAGCGAAAGCGUGCUGAUAAGGAGAACAGAGAAAGGAGAGGCCGUGUGUUCUGGACGACAGAGAAGCCAAUCAAGAUAACUUGCACCAUUUUCCAGAGAACAAAAAAGUCUUCGAGAAGAGCGGAAGGUCCUAAGCAGUUCUUUGAGCGUUGUGAGAGUAUUGGUAUUGGAUCUUCUGUCUGUAAUAUCAGGGAGGCGAGUUGUCGAACCAUAACUACUAAAUGAACACAUACAGUUUUGUAAUCACAUCAGAUUAAAUAUAGAAAAAGAUUUAAAUUCAUCUUUUAUUUAUUUUUGUUUGUUUUUUUAUUUAAAUAAAUGUUUAUAUUUAAUUAUACACUCAAUUUUGAUUAGUGUAGUUUUCAUUAUCUUCUUUA